GAUCAUGCUCAGGACGAACGCUGGCGGCGUGCCUAACACAUGCAAGUCGAGCGAGGAGAUCCUUCGGGAUGAUCCUAGCGGCGGACGGGUGAGUAACACGUGGGCAACCUGCCUCAUAGAGAGGAAUAGCCUUCCGAAAGGGAGAUUAAUACCUCAUAACAUUGCAGUUUCGCAUGAAACAGCAAUUAAAGGAGCAAUCCGCUAUGAGAUGGGCCCGCGGCGCAUUAGCUAGUUGGUGAGGUAACGGCUCACCAAGGCGACGAUGCGUAGCCGACCUGAGAGGGUGAUCGGCCACAUUGGGACUGAGACACGGCCCAGACUCCUACGGGAGGCAGCAGUGGGGAAUAUUGCACAAUGGGGGAAACCCUGAUGCCAGCAACGCCGCGUGAGUGAUGACGGCCUUCGGGUUGUAAAGCUCUGUCUUCAGGGACGAUAAUGACGGUACCUGAGGAGGAAGCCACGGCUAACUACGUGCCAGCCGCCGC
rnacentral:rRNA from 1 species